GCGUCUGAUUAGCUAGUUGGUGAGGUAACGGCUCACCAAGGCAACGAUCAGUAACUGGUCUGAGAGGAUGAUCAGUCACACGGGCACUGAGACACGGGCCCGACUCCUACGGGAGGCAGCAGUAGGGAAUCUUAGACAAUGGGCGCAAGCCUGAUCUAGCCAUGCCGCGUGAGGGAUGAAGGCCUUAGGGUUGUAAA
rnacentral:rRNA from 1 species